rnacentral:rRNA from 1 species
GAUGAACGCUGGCGGCGUGCCUAAUACAUGCAAGUCGAGCGAACAGACGAGGAGCUUGCUCCUCUGACGUUAGCGGCGGACGGGUGGGUAACACGUGGAUAACCUACCUAUAAGACUGGGAUAACUUCGGGAAACCGGAGCUAAUACCGGAUAAUAUAUUGAACCGCAUGGUUCAAUAGUGAAAGACGGUUUUGCUGUCACUUAUAGAUGGAUCCGCGCCGCGUUAGCUAGUUGGUAAGGUAACGGCUUACCAAGGCAACGAUGCGUAGCCGACCUGAGAGGGUGAUCGGCCACACUGGAACUGAGACACGGUCCAGACUCCUACGGGAGGCAGCAGUAGGGAAUCUUCCGCAAUGGGCGAAAGCUUGACGGAGCAACGCCGCGUGAGUGAUGAAGGUCUUCGGAUCGUAAAACUCUGUUAUUAGGGAAGAACAAAUGUGUAAGUAACUAUGCACGUCUUGACGGUACCUAAUCAGAAAGCCACGGCUAACUACGUG